rnacentral:rRNA from 1 species
UACAGAGGUCUCAAGCGUUGUUCGGAAUCACUGGGCGUAAAGGGUGCGUAGGCGGCGGAGUAAGUCGGGUGUGAAAUUUGCGGGCUCAACCCUCAACUAGCACCUGAUACUACUUUGCUCGAGGCCUGAAGAGGAGCUUGGAAUUCUCGGUGUAGCAGUGAAAUGCGUAGAUUUCGAGAAGAACGCUCGCAGCGAAAGCGAAGCUCUGGUCAGGUUCUGACGCUGAGGCACGAAGGCUAGGGGAGCAAACGGG